GAACUGCGAUAAGUAGUGUGAAUUGCAGAAUUCAGUGAAUCAUCGAGUCUUUGAACGCACAUUGCGCCCCCUGGCAUUCCGGGGGGCAUGCCUGUCCGAGCGUCAUUGCUACCCUCAAGCACGGCUUGUGUGUUUGGCCGCCGUCCGCCCCGCCCCGCGGGGGGGACGCGCCCGAAAGGCAGCGCCGGCACCGUGUCCGGUCCUCGAGCGUAUGGGGCUUCGUCACUCGCUCCGUGUGGCCCGCCUGCGCCAUGCUUCGUCAACCACCUCUUUUCUAGGUUGACCUCGGAUCAGGUAGGGAUACCCGCUGAACUUAA
rnacentral:misc_RNA from 1 species